UCUGAUUUAGAAGAUCACAAGUUCGUAAAACUUGUAGCGAUAUCUUGUUUGAUUUAUCAGAACAAGGACUCAUCAAUCAUAUGUUUAUUUAAAGAUAUCGAAAAAAAGAUAGAUAAGGAAGAAGUAUUGAUAAAAAAUUGGAAACGGGGAAGCCGUUGACUUUUUUACGUGAUUAUUAAGAACGGAUU
ensembl:ncRNA T04C12.19 ncRNA